CACCCGAGGCAUAUGGAAGUUCUCAGGCUAGGAAUUGAAUCAGAGCUGCAGCUACCAACCUAUACCACAGCCAUGCCAGAUCUGAGCUGUGUCUGCAGCCUAUACCAUAGCUCAUUGCAAUGCUGCAUCCUUAACCUGCUGAGUGAAGCCAGGGAUCAAACCUGCAUCCUCGUGGACACUAGUCAGGUCAUAACCCAUUGAGCCAUGAUGGGAACUCCCUGAAAUCACUUUUUAAUUUGUUACUGUUAUUAACAGUAAGUGAGUUAAAGCUGGGGCAGGGGGUGGCGGUGUGCUCCUGGAUAGUGACUGGGAAGGAGAAGUCUAGUUCUUCCCAAGAGAGCCACCUUUUCAGGUAGUAUUUCUAGAUUCCCUCUGCAGAGGCUUCCUGGAGGAGUCUUGUGACUGCUUCUUGUGACUGUCUUGCCCAGUCCUGUACAUUAAAAUGGCUCAUUUAGUCACUUAUGAUGGAGCAUGAUGGGGGAUAAUGUGAGAAAAAGAAUGUAUAUGUGUAUGCACGACUGGGUCACCUUGCUGUACAGUAGAAAAUUGGCAGAACACUGUAAACCAACUAUAAUGGAAAAAAUAAAAUCAUUUAAAAAAUAAAAUAGCUCAUCUAUCCACACUCCCGUAGGAAGCAAGUCCUAAUGGUACACUGGAGUUGUUAACAGCCUAGGUCUGGUCCUUUGUCAGUUCUGCAGCUGUGUUCCUUUCUCCAACCUGUUCUUGGAAUUCCCACUCCUUAAUUUCUAGCUCUUCCCCUCACUGCGGACUUAAAAUUUCUUCCUAAAAUGGUCAUAAUUAAUAGGGGCUGGGCAAGGACCACAGACAUGUUGGUUAUUCUAUGAGCAACCAAGCAUUUGCCUCGUUCAUAGUGGCUUGUUGAGGCACAGUGUGUGGUGUUUGGAGAAGUGGUUGGUAUUUUUAAAGUGUUAAAAGAACUUAAAUUCCUAUGAUUUUAGGCAGGUGGAAAAGCUUUAAUGCAAAGAUGGUGAAAGCAAAGUGCCCUGAGCAGGAGCUCAGGAGAUGAAGCUUCUAUUGAUUUUAUUCCUGGUUUUUAAGACCCUAGCUGUAAAACCUUGGGCAAAUGCCUCCUAGUUCUGGAUCUUAAGAACCCUCCUCCAGGGAUCCCUGUAAUUCAACCUUGUUUCCCAUCUUCAGUACAGAGCCAGGCUCCUGGUAAAACUCAGUAAAGGAUUGCCAAAUAGAAGAGGACUUUGUCUCAUUUAUAACAUGAGACACUUGGAAUAAAACAAGACAAUUAGCAAGAAAUAUUCUGGUCUUGACAUCAUCUGACUUCAUGGCCUUAAUCUCUAAUUUUUAAUAGCAUUGACAAACCAUGAAAAUAGAGGCCUAACAUUUGUGUCUUACUUAACUAUUUACAAAACUCUUUCACAUAUUUUAGCUCAAUAAAAUCAAUAAAAUUAGCAAUACUGAGAUCUAGGUCUAAUUGCUUACAUUUUAAGGAAGAUACUGAAGCUACAGACAGGUGCUAAUAAAGUCACAGAGCCUGGAUUUCAAUCCAAAUCACCUAAUAGCAAAUCAAUUGCUUUUCCCAUCCUCUUUACUUCUUGUCCCACCAUUUGAAGAACCGUAUUUUUCUUAUCUGUGUCACAUCUCUCUUUAGUGUUUGGCCCUCCUCUUUCUGAGGUACAACAUUGCAACAUAGCCUGUUGUGGAACUUCAGAUGAGAGAAUGCAGCUUCUUUGAAGACUCUAAGACAUGUAUAUGUACAGCCCAUCUAGCAAUAAAAAUAAUGACAUUUUGAAAACCUCUGGUCUUUCCAUUAUCCCCUGUGAUGGUGAACAUGCAUUUGCAAGGAUCCAGUCUUCUGUCAGAAGAGCGUGAACAGUCCAUUGCCCAGAAUCACUUGCAGAAAUAAGCGCGCGGGCACACGCGCGCACACACACACACUCUCUCUCUCUCUCUCUCUCUCUCUCUCUCUCUCUCUCUCUCUCUCUCUCUCUCUCUCUCUCUCCCUCUCCCCCCCUGCAUCCAGAUUCUGAGACAGCAUAGGAAAGCCCAGUUUUAAACAUUCUAUCAGAGUUCUUUGGGUAAAGGCUCAAUUACAUUAAAAUUAGCAGCCAGCUAACAAGGCUAAAGGAGUUAGCAGGCAAAUACAAUGUGCUCUUUGACAGUAGCUCCAAGAACUAUAGGUCAGCUACUACUUCUGUUGGGAAAAUAACAUUAGGGGAACAUUUGUAAAGGACCUAUCAUUGUCUUGAUAAGUUGAUACUGAAACUGGUAAUCAGUGAAAUUGGAGGCAUCCUAUUUCCUAUUUGAAUAGAAGUGAGGCGGAGACACAAAGAGAGAGUGCAUCUCAAUUUAUCCUAGUGUUUCCUGAUGCAGAUCUCUCAAGCCAGUAUCUCUUACUUAGUUAGACCUUAGGUAGCUUCCAGGGAAAGUCAGUGAUACAGUGCAUGAUAAGAAGUAAUUAUACGAGAUUAGAUUAGCUGAUUUCCCCUGUAUAAAAGCAGGCACACACAAUAGAAGUUCUUAUUGCAUAAACAAAUGGAAAAAUCUUUAAGUGAAUUCCUGAAACAUACCUUUUCGAAGAGUGAAAUUUUCUUUGCCGUGCAGUGCAAUAACUUUCAAUGACUAAAC
rnacentral:lncRNA from 1 species